GCCCGGGCAACAACAUGAGGAGCCGCCGCAACAGCGACACCCGGCGGUCGAGAGCGGGAACGACGUAAACACAGGAGGUGUAGCUACGUCAUAGUAGUUAUAAUAAUGUGUUUUUUAUUUAGACCAUAAAGCACCUUUAAAAACACCGGUUUACAAAGUGCUUUGGCUUACAAGCAAAAGUGACAUUAGAAACAAGCAAGAUGUCACAACACAAAAUAACAACACCAGGAUCAUGACCAAGACAUCACAAGACAUCACAAGAACAUUAUAAGAACCCAGCAAAAACAACAUGAAAUGAAACCAGGGGGAGUAGCCAUGUAAGCAACUAAAAGAGGUAGAAACAGGUGAGUCGGUGGCCUAGUGGUUGGUUUGCACGCCCCAUGUACAGAGGCUGUAGUCCUCGAAGCGGGUGGCCCUGAUUCGGAUCCGACCCCCUCUCUCUCUCUCCCGCUCAACAUGGAUAAAGUCAUAAAAGCCCCAGAAUAAACCAAAGAAAAAGGACGAGAUAGAACCAUUAGAAGGGAUAAAAUCAAAUACAGUAUCAGCAGUUCACUGAUGUAGUUUGGAAUCAGACCCAUACAUGCUUUAAGUAAAAGAAGAUGAAGAUGGGGUGAUGGGAUGUCAUCUGUUAAAACCAGUAAGGAGCAGAGCUGCUGCGUUCUGGACGUGUCGUGAUGAUUGAACACAAACACAGAGCUCUUUCACAUCGGCUUUAGUUCACAGGAGAUAAUUUAUCACGAUACAUUACAUUUUACAAGACAAAUAAAAACAGCAAAGGAAGAAUUUUGACUCCAUACGUACACAAACACAAAACACAGAGAAAUACAUGUUACACAGUCCAAUAAUCAAAGAAGAAAGAGAUAAGACAAUGACUGGAAAUGAGUAAAUAUGUAGUCAUGAUGUAGACACAGACGCUUCUUAAAUGACAUCAGCGACAGAUGCAUCGAGAGAAAUGUCAAAUAAGAGUCAACAGAUGAAUAACAGUUAAAGGUAUAGAUAUGAUGCAAAAAAGAAAAUACUCACAUUCUGUUCACCUGUCAGCUUUUAUCAUUUAACUUUGUAGCAAACUGUUAUUUCAUAAUAAAGGUGACAUAUCCUCCUCUUCUUCUUCAGUGUAAAUAAGUGUCAGAGCUGUGUGUGUGUGUGAAGUUUCUUGUUCUAAAUCCACUCUGAUCCUGUAUUUGAUCAUGUCUAUAAACCCCUCUAUUUCAGCCCUGCUCAGAACAGGCUGUUUCUGUGUCUGUACCUUUAAAUAUGUAAAUGAGCUGUGUCUGACCACACCCCCUCUCUGGAAGGGCUUGGGUGUCUCGGUCUUUCUCGCUCCAUGUCCUAUUGUUUACGAUGAGAAGGCAGACUCAGAGGGCAGAACAAACACCUAGCUGUGGGAGUGUCACCCACCUGGGGGAGGGGCUACUGCCCUUUGUGAUGUCAUGAAGGGAAAAUCUCCAAACGGCACACAUUUUCUGAAAAGUUGAGCAGGCAGAAGACAGAGAGGAUGGACUUUUUUCAUCAUUGGGGGGUUUGUAGACAGACUAGAGACACAUGUUAGAGUUAGUGCUGUCAAUAUGAAACUCUUAAAUCGUAUUAUUCCGACUAAAAACAGGAUUUCUGUGAUAUUUUAUCUGAAAUUGAAGGACAGAUUGUUUGAAUCCUUCUCUCUUCAGUCUGCAGUGAGAAUGUUUACUAUCAGUGAAGUUUGUUGGAGUUAAUGUUUGUGUGUGUGUGUGUGUGUGUGUGUGUGUGUGUGUGUGUGUCAUCAUAUCCUGCUAGAUCUGGAGCACCGAUGGGUCCAAAGGUCCAACUAGGCAAACGCAGCUUCCUGUGCCUCUACUCUCUCUCUCUCUCUCUCUCUCUGUCUCUCUCUCUGUCUCGUUCUGUCUCUCUCUCUCUCUGUCUCAUCUCUCUCUCUCUCUGUCUCUUUCUGUCUCUCUCUCUCUGUCUCCUCUCUCUCUGUCUGUCUCUGUGUCUCUCUCUCUCUCUCUCUCUGUCUCUGUGUCUCUCUCUGUCUCUCUCUCUCUCUGUCUCCUCUCUCUCUCUCUGUCUCUUUCUGUCUCUCUCUCUCUCUGUCUCCUCUCUCUCUCUCUCUCUGUGUCUCUCUCUGUGUCUCUCUCUCUGUCUGUCUCUGUCUCUGUGUGUGUGUGUGUGUCUCUCUCUCUCUCUCAAACACUCACACCACAUAAGUCUUGAACCUCAUUCUGUCAUUAAUUAAUGAUUUUCUUUGAUGACGUCUGACUCCUCCCAUUUUUUGACAUGGGUGGCAUUAGUCCUCUUUCUCAUCAUAGAAUUUAUUUGUGUUUUAAAAUCAGGUGCAUGUUUGGAGUACAGGAUAAAUAAUAAGAAGAGAUGUUUGAAUGCUCCAGAUUCUCUAAAAUAAGUGACCUGAAUCCAAACAGCUGUUAGUAAUUAAAAUCAAACUGAAUUUCUUCUCCCAGUUGAGAAAGGAACAGCGGAGGUAGAGGAGAGAAGAAAGGUUCCUGUGUGGUAAAUGAUCACAUGUGGCACACAUUGGAUGUUUAUUAAAAACAUGUGCAAAAGAAAAAAAAACACAUGGAUCGAAUAUUUUUAGCUGCGCCGUGGGCGUCGUUCAGAGGCAAUCAGGAAUCUGCUCCCUCUGUGACUCUCACAGGACUCAUACACCAUGUUGUUUUCAACUCACAGAGAAUCUUUAUCAUUUCACAAAAGCAGUAAAAAGUGAAGCAGCUAACAAGUGGUCGAACAGACGAGAUAAAGGGGGGUAAGAAAGAGCUGUGUGAAGCUGCUGCUGAAUCCUGCAGAAAGCAUCACAUCCUGUCAAAUAAAGACAUGAAGUACUUUA